GGAGAGCAAAAUUAAUUUGAAUCCAAAAUACAAUUUCACCACUAGAUGGGAGUAAUUCCUACUUACAGUCCCUUUAAUAGACACUAACUAAAAAGCAUUAAAAAUAUCAAAGUAACAGUGAGUAGGUCUUCACCACAGAGUUUGGCCCUGAACACAACAUACAAUGAACCAGAAGUCGGCUUAUGAAAAUGGCUUAUGUCCACGUUGAAAAAUAAGGUUGGUUGCAAUUAUUUUCAUUUAUUUAAAACUCAGUAGUUAGAGUAUGCCAUCACACUACUCUUUUCACUCUAAUUUCUUAAAUAAAUAAUUAAAUAAAUCUGUAUUUAUUUUCUGAACAGUAGGUAACAGUAUAUCUGUUUUUGUUUCAGGUGACACGUAGUCAAGGGGAAAGGAUGCUGACAUUGGAAGGACAAGCUGAUUUCAUCUCUGGUCUGGGUGCCAUUUUAGCCAUUUCAAUUUGAAGAAUGCUGAAGGAAUGUUUGGAUGUGUUGUGAUUUGCGAGCCACACAGGACCACAGCAGCCAAGCGAUGACGACCCCACUUCUUCCCCUCAAACAAGUGGUGUGUUGCAGAUUCAACAUUUGUGUCUGUGCUGGAGACCAGAGAGGAGAGAGCACAUAUAAAAUGCUCUGCCUGGAUAAAACACACACCUCUACUUUGUUGCAGUACUGUUCGUGACUGUGUGUUUGUAAUGGAAGUGAUUUUAAGCUGAGCAGGGUUAAUAUUACCUUGUUCUAUCACCUUUUUGGUCUUUACUGCAACAGUAGUGACCCACUGAAAGUGGUGACUGGGAACUGAAACCUUUUUCAUCCCACUUGAAAGAAACUAACAGCUUUCCUAUCUGCUUUUUUAUUUUUUUUUUAUAAGUACUUCUUGGGCAUCAAUCCAGAGACAGGCACAAACUCACAGAGGCAGAGAGACAUUUCAACCUGCAAGUCUCUAUACUGAUCAGGAAACUCAUUGACUUUGAAUUGAUGUCAAUCUAGUGUGUAAGCAAUGUUCCAACCCCAGAAUGGACGAACCAAACUCUGGCUUUGUGAUAAGUUCGAUGUGGUCAUGUUGUAAGAUGAUCCCUGAAUAUAUUUUAUAGUGUGUCCUGGUUUCUUAAAUAAAAUAAAUGUGGUCAUGUUGUAAGAUGAUCCCUGAAUAUAUUUUAUAGUGUGUCCUGGUUCAAUGGAGAGAAGCAUGAUCAUCUGAACCUGAUUUAUUAAACUGCAAAAUCUGUAAAA